AACCCUAGGCAGGGGAUCACUCGGCUCAUGGAUCGAUGAAGACCGCAGCUAAAUGCGCGUCAGAAUGUGAACUGCAGGACACAUGAACACCGACACGUUGAACGCACAUGGCACAUCGGCUCGCCUCAAAACGACCGAUGUACACAUCCUUGAGUGUCUAC
rnacentral:rRNA from 1 species